rnacentral:rRNA from 1 species
UGGGGAAUAUUGCACAAUGGGCGCAAGCCUGAUGCAGCCAUGCCGCGUGUACGAAGAAGGCCUUCGGGUUGUAAAGUACUUUCAGCGGGGAGGAAGGCGAUAAGGUUAAUAACCUUGUCGAUUGACGUUACCCGCAGAAGAAGCACCGGCUAACUCCGUGCCAGCAGCCGCGGUAAUACGGAGGGUGCAAGCGUUAAUCGGAAUUACUGGGCGUAAAGCGCACGCAGGCGGUCUGUCAAGUCGGAUGUGAAAUCCCCGGGCUCAACCUGGGAACUGCAUUCGAAACUGGCAGGCUAGAGUCUUGUAGAGGGGGGUAGAAUUCCAGGUGUAGCGGUGAAAUGCGUAGAGAUCUGGAGGAAUACCGGUGGCGAAGGCGGCCCCCUGGACAAAGACUGACGCUCAGGUGCGAAAGCGUGGGGAGCAAACAG